GCGUCACUAGUGUAGUGGUAACACGCUAUCCUUCCAAGUUAGAAUUGCGAGUUCGAUUCUCGCGUGGCGCUC
rnacentral:tRNA from 1 species